CCGAACCCAGGGCCCUGCGCUUCCUAGGUAAGUGCUCUACCCUGAGCUAAAUCCCCAGCCCCUGCAGUUUUUAAUAUUGGCCCCACACUUUGUAUUUUGACUAUCAUGUGUUGUGGGAAGGUUCUCCUCUGGCUGUGUCUGUUUAAGAUUCUAAAUGCCUCUUGUAUUGGGAUGUCUAUUUCUGUCUCUAGACCUGGGAAAUUUUCUGCUUCAUUUCAUUGAAUAGACUCUCUAUGUCAUGAUUGUUUAUCUUGGCUCUUCUUCUAGCUCAUGAAUUCUUAGGUUUGGUUUCUUGAUUGUAUGCUAGAGCACUUAAAUGUUGUGGUCAUGCUUGUUGAUUUUUCAUUUUUGAUUCUUGAAUGUUGCAUUUUGUCUAUCUUGUACUUUACUCAUGAGAGUCUAUCUUCUGUGUGGUUGAGUCUAGUGGUGAUAUUUUCCAUUAUUUCUUGGUUUUGUUUUUGAGUUGUAGUCACUGACUUUUUUAUUUCCAACAUUUCUAUUUGAUUUUUUUCUCAGAAUCUUGAUUUCCUGGAUGAGUUUUUCCUUCCAUGCUGAUUUUAUCAUUCUAGAUAAUCUGGAACAGAAAGUGUAUAUUAAGCAUUGAUUGCCACAAUCACGAUGCUGUCUAACAAACCACUGGAAGCUUAUUGAUUUACUCCAAGAAUAUUUUUGCUCAUACUUCAAGCAAUGGGAGUUCAAGCUGUAGAUUGUUCUGAAAGCUGCUUCUGGUUCCAGGGCAUGAGUGCGUUUGUUUCUGACCAAGGAUAUUUGUCCUAGGAUCCAAGAAACAAUGAUAGCAGCCAUGAUGGAAAAAGUUCUUUAUAUUGUAAAUCAUAGGAGUUAUUGGGGUGGAAUCCAAUGAUGUAAAUAAUAUAAGUACCUCUUUCUCUUUGGGCUCUGUAAACACAUUCAUCUCACUCUCAAGAGAAGAAGAAUGAUGAGAAAGGUGGAGGAGAAACAAAGAGAGGAGAAAGGAAGAGGAGGAAGGAAGAUCUUCUUUAAAGAUGUACAGUCUAAAGCAUCAAGAAGCUUCACCUCCAGGGCUGGAAAGGUGACUCAGCUGGAGAGAUGGCUCAGUGGUUACUUGCUGCUCUUCCAGAGGACCUGAGUUUUGUUUCCAAGCACACAUGUUAGGCAGCACACAAGGGUCUGGAACUCUACUUUCAUGGAUUCCAACACACGCCCUGGCCUCUAUGAGUCACACACACACACACACACACACACACACACACACACACACACACACACACAUU
rnacentral:sRNA from 1 species